rnacentral:rRNA from 1 species
CCUACGGGAGGCAGCAGUGAGGAAUAUUGGUCAAUGGGCGCGAGCCUGAACCAGCCAAGUCGCGUGAGGGAAGACGGUCCUAUGGAUUGUAAACCUCUUUUGUCGGGGAGCAAAAGACGCCCUGCGUGUGGUUCCGAGACUACCCGAAGAAAAAGCAUCGGCUAACUCCGUGCCAGCAGCCGCGGUAAUACGGAGGAUGCGUGCGUUAUCGGGGUUUAUUGGGGUAAAAGGGUGCGAAGGCGGAAGAUCAAGUCAGCGGUAAAAUUACGGGGCGGAACCUCUUCGAGCCGUUGAAACUGGUUUUCUUGAGUGAGCGAGAAGUAUGCGGAAUGCGUGGUGUAGCGGUGAAAUGCAUAGAUAUCACGCAGAACUCCGAUUGCGAAGGCAGCAUACCGGCGCUCAACUGACGCUGAUGCACGAAAGUGUGGGUAUCGAACAGGAUUAGAUACCCGUGUAGUC